CGGGAGGCAGCAGUGAGGAAUAUUGGUCAAUGGGCGAGAGCCUGAACCAGCCAAGUCGCGUGCAGGAAGAAUGUCCUAUGGAUUGUAAACUGCUUUUCCGGUAGAAUAAAGGACAUCAUGUAUGGUGUUUUGCAAGUAUACCGGGAAUAAGGAUCGGCUAACUCCGUGCCAGCAGCCGCGGUAAUACGGAGGAUCCGAGCGUUAUCCGGAUUUAUUGGGUUUAAAGGGUGCGUAGGCGGAUGGUUAAGUCAGUGGUGAAAUUUUUGCGCUUAACGUAAACAUUGCCGUUGAAACUGGUCAUCUAGAGUGCAAAUGAGGUAGGCGGAAUGUGUUGUGUAGCGGUGAAAUGCAUAGAUAUAACACAGAACCCCGAUUGCGAAGGCAGCUUACUGGGAUGCAACUGACGCUGAAGCACGAAAGCGUGGGGAUCAAACAGGAUUAGAUACCCUGGUAGUCCACGCAGUAAACGAUGAAUACUAACUGUUUGCGAUAUAAUGUAAGCGGUCAAGCGAAAGCGUUAAUAUUCCACCUGGWGAGUACGUUCGCAAG
rnacentral:rRNA from 1 species